rnacentral:rRNA from 1 species
CCUACGGGAGGCAGCAGUGAGGAAUAUUGGUCAAUGGACGCAAGUCUGAACCAGCCAUGCCGCGUGCAGGAUGACGGCUCUAUGAGUUGUAAACUGCUUUUGUACGGGAGUCAAGUCAGAUACGCGUAUCUGUCUGAAAGUAUCGUACGAAUAAGGAUCGGCUAACUCCGUGCCAGCAGCCGCGGUAAUACGGAGGAUUCGAGCGUUAUCCGGAUUUAUUGGGUUUAAAGGGUGCGUAGGCGGUCGGAUAAGUUAGUGGUGAAAUCCAGAGGCUCAACUUUGGAAUUGCAUUUGAUACUGGCCGGCUAGAGAGUAGUUGCGGUAGGCGGAAUGCAUGGUGUAGCGGUGAAAUGCUUAGAGAUCAGACAGAACACCGAUGGCGAAGGCAGCUUACGAAGCUACUUCUGACGUUGAGGCACGAAAGCGUGGGGAGCAAACAGGAUUAGAUACCCGGGUAGUC